rnacentral:rRNA from 1 species
AGGGCACCACCAGGAGUGGAGCCUGCGGCUUAAUUUGACUCAACACGGGAAAACUCACCCGGCCCGGACACUGGAAGGAUUGACAGAUUGAGAGCUCUUUCUUGAUUCAGUGGGUGGUGGUGCAUGGCCGUUCUUAGUUGGUGGAGUGAUUUGUCUGGUUAAUUCCGAUAACGAACGAGACUCUAGCCUACUAAAUAGAUCGUCGGCUUACAAACGCCGGCGAGACUUCUUAGAGGGACAGGCGGUGAUUCAACCGCACGAAACAGAGCAAUAACAGGUCUGUGAUGCCCUUAGAUGUCCGGGGCCGCACGCGCGCUACACUGAAGUGAUCAGCGUGCUUUUUCAACCUACUCUGUCAAGAGUGGGGAACCCAAUGAACCUUCUUCGUGAUUGGGAUAGGGGAUUGUAAUUGUUCCCCUUGAACGAGGAAUUCCCAGUAAGCGCGAGUCAUAAGCUCGCGUUGAUUACGUCCCUGCCCUUUGUACACACCGCCCGUCGCCACUACCGAUUGAAUGUUUU